rnacentral:rRNA from 1 species
AUUGAACGCUGGCGGCAGGCCUAACACAUGCAAGUCGAACGAGUGGCGGACGGGUGAGUAAUGUCUGGGAAACUGCCUGAUGGAGGGGGAUAACUACUGGAAACGGUAGCUAAUACCGCAUACCAUCGGAUGUGCCCAGAUGGGAUUAGCUAGUAGGUGGGGUAAAGGCUCACCUAGGCGACGAUCCCUAGCUGGGCUGAGAGGAUGACCAGCCACACUGGAACUGCUACACGGUCCAGACUCCUACGGUAGGCAGCAGUGGGGAAUAUUGCACCAUGGGCGCAAGCCUGAUGCAGCCAUGCCGCGUGUAUGAAGAAGGCCUUCGGGUUGUAAAGUACUUUCAGCGGGGAGGCGUUACCCGCAGAAGAAGCACCGGCUAACUCCGUGCCAGCCGCCGCGGUAAUUC